AUUUAUAUAGUUUAUUAAAACAUUUUAUUUUCAUUAAAAAAAAGGAACAAAUUUCCUAUAAAUU
rnacentral:tRNA from 1 species